AUGUCUGGAGAGGCAGAGUGGGGCUGGAUCGUGGAAGGCCGCGUUCAGAAUAUUUUGGUUUCAGUCCAAUUCCAGAAGUGCACCGUUGGAGGGUUGCAGGGAAGAGAGAGGUGUGACUUAACCCACCUGGCUGCGGAAUGGGAAACAGACCAGACAGGCGCAGCGGCCCCGACCCCACAAGGUUUCAUUCGUGGCCUCAGUUACCCACUGCCGACUGCAGAUGAGAGAGAUCAGCUGAGAAGUUCCUGGGAUGAGCACUGUGAGCAGCCUCUGCUCACUGCUCUGGGCAGGGGGCCGAAACCGCACCCUGCCCUGUGCCCCUGUAGGACCUGGACCUCCGCACCCACGCGCUGCCUGCCCGCAAGCUCCCUGGGGCCACCUUGUUUCCAGUCACUCGUCACAGUGUCAGCCACAGUUGGUUCCCGGGCUGCUGAAACUCUCUCCUUUGCCCAGAGCAGCUAUCACCUCCCUCCUGCCUCAGCCUUUCCGUGGAUUUCCCGCUGUGGCCAGGUGAGAGUUUCCUGAACCGCAGCCUGGCCAUCUGGAGCCCUCGCAGGGAAGGGCUUCGUGGUCUGGUCACUGCCUCGUUGUCCUCCCUGUCACCUGCAAGCUGGGACCCUUGCAGUGAGCUGUGCGCUUCCAGAGAUCUUCUCUCUCACACGCCCUUCCCUCUGCCUGCCCAGCACCCAGGAGCCAAGGAACCCAGGAGAUGACCGCACAGCCCCACAGGCACACAGACGAUGUGCCAAGCCCACAUCUGCCACUUAUGAAUGCCACGGCGCUGAGAUUUUCACACUCUGUGCCUUGGUUUCCUCAUCUGUCAAAGAGGGAUCAAAGACAGCAGCUCUCUGCAAGCAGAUGUGAGCCCUGCAUGGGAGCGGGACUAAGGUGGAGCCCCAGGCUCCUCCGCGCUACCCUCUGUCAUCACCACGGCUUCCUCCUCUUCAGUGACACCAGGCUGUCGGGAAGCACAAAGCAAGAACACACGAGAUGCUUUCAAAGCAACGAAUGAUACUAAUGGCGAUAAAGCAACAUCACAGCCACAGUGGCCUCUCUGUGCCCUCUCCAUGCCAGGAUGCAGAAUUACUGGUCUGGCUUUAUUGCCGCUCAGAGUCAUGAAUUAGCGCACAGAGUCUGCAGUGACUGGUGAGUGCACACCAUGGAGAUAUCCCACUCCACACCAGAAUGGUUUCCCCAGGGGCCCGGCCACGGAAACACGCCUGCACCUGCAGCCAACGCCCAGGAAAUCUGAGGUCAGAAUCUGGACCCUGUCUCUCUCUGGUCCUUCUUCCCUUCUGGCCUCUCCUUGCACCUGUGCCAAAGAUCAGGCCCCUUGGCAUGACCUAGUCAUUGGAUGGCAAACUUGGAGAAGCCUCGGAUGUGGGAUGCAGGGAUCCCGGCAUAGACGCCAUCCUCCUAUUUGGUCUUCAGGACCUGGAGGCUGAGCACAAAGAUGGCAGCGCAGGCACCAUGUCAUGUGAAGAGGGGACUUUGUAAAGUUUUGGUCAUGCAGAAGGUCUGAGGACCCCUUCUUCACCUACGAGAACCCAGGCCUUUGUCAAAGAGACCCUUGCAAACACGCCUGCUCCCGAGUCCCGGCUGGGCCACCAUGGCUAACAGCUGGACAGAGGCAGUGAGGCCCUGGGCCACACUCCCUGGGUUUCAAUCCCGGCUCUGCUAUUUUCUACCCACAAAGGCUCAGAAAAGUUACUCAAUGUCCUUGGGCCUCAGUCUCCUCAUUCAUAAGAUGGAGAAGGGGUUCUUGUGAGAAUAAAGUGACCAUGUUUGCUGAGCUCUGCAGCAGCACUGGGCAGUGAGCGCCUGUUGUCCAUGGUGCCAUGGUUCUGGCUGUGCGGCCCC
rnacentral:lncRNA from 1 species